CGACUUUGUUGCAGACCUUCAAUUUCUGGUUUCAAGAAUAAAAGAGAUUUGUUGGGCUUAGAAUUGGCAGCUUAUCAAUCAAGUAAGACAAUGGGGAAAUGGUUAAGUGGAGUGAAGAAGUUCAUUCCCUUUGAGGGAUAUGUUAAGUCUGUGAAAACGGCAGCACGAAUAUCAUUUCCAAAGAUCUCAGCAGACUGUCAAGAUAAAGAGCC
rnacentral:misc_RNA from 1 species